AUACGGAGGGUGCAAGCGUUACUCGGAAUCACUGGGCGUAAAGCGCGCGCAGGCGGGCUGAUAAGUUGGAUGUGAAAGCCUACGGCUCAACCGUAGAACUGCAUCCAAAACUGUCAGUCUAGAGUCUGGGAGGGGAAGAUGGAAUUAGUUGUGUAGGGGUAAAAUCCGUAGAGAUAACUAGGAAUACCAAAAGCGAAGGCGAUCUUCUGGAACAGUACUGACGCUGAGGCGUGAAAGCGUGGGGAACAAACAGGAGUAGAAACCCUAGUAGUCC
rnacentral:rRNA from 1 species